rnacentral:rRNA from 1 species
UACGUAGGUGGCAAGCGUUGUCCGGAUUUACUGGGCGUAAAGAGCGCGCAGGCGGUCGUUCAAGUCGCGUGUGAAAGCCCCCGGCUCAACUGGGGAGGGUCACGCGAUACUGAUCGACUGGAAGGCAGGAGAGGGUAGUGGAAUUCCCGGUGUAGUGGUGAAAUGCGUAGAUAUCUGGAGGAACACCGGUGGCGAAGGCGGCAUCCUGGACCGGCAUUGACGCUGAGGCGCGAAAGCCAGGGGAGCAAACGGG